CCAGCCACCCGGACAGCUGAUUUUUAUUUUUUUUUAUUUCACCUUUAUUUAACCAGCUAUGUUUUAGCCAGGUCAGGAGCCCUUUGUGAGCAGCAGGAGCCCUAGGCUGAGCCACUGUAGAGAGAAGAAUCAAUGGUGUGCAGAGUUGUCACACCGCCUGGAUGAACUCAACGUUACUCAGCACACAACGGAUGCACAUUUAUGGCAUUUGUGAGGGUGAGGAACUGUGGAGACUUCUGCCAGGCACAGCACCAGCACCUGGUCAUUGUGGACAAGUAAGCUGCCUUUAGCCAAAUGUAUGAAGAAAUACCCCACCUGAAGUCGAUCAGUACUCCUGGAGAGAGAGAGAGGCUGAAAUUUCUCCAAAUUUUGGAGUAUUUUUCUCUACUGCUGGACUGUUCACCCUCUCCUGGAAGACUGCCUUCUCCAACUGUCUGUCAAGAUGAAUCGCCCCGCCCCUGUUGAGUUCACCUAUGAGUGUAUGAAGUUUCUGAUCACCCACAACCCCACCAACUCCCAGCUGGUGAAGUUUAUAGAGGCGCAGUAUUAACUCCUAUAAUACAUAUCCCCAUAUGCUUUGUAAUCACAUGAAGCAUUGUGUUAUUUGAGUUUAUAGCAUUUUCUUUUGUCAAGCCAGAUUGGAAUGUACUGAAAAACAGACAGUGUCUUGAUUACUAACAUAAAACACUUAAUUUAAUUUAUAACCAGGACCUCAAUGCUUUUGGUGUGCAGACACUAGUCAGAGUAUGUAAUGCCACUUAUGACAAAACCCCUGUGGUGCAGGAAGGCAUCACUGUUGUGGUAAGACAACUUUUGUUCUCUUCUGCCAUGAUGUUAACCCAUCAGAGACCUUCAGAUUUGGUUGGAGCUUCAGGCAUUCUGGUUCCAAUCGUCCACUGUAUCUACAUGAUAUCUAGGUCUAUCUUUUUCCUAAUGAUGGAGGUUGCAUGAAAGUGUUAGGCCUAUCAAUUACGCUACCUAAUAAAUGAAUCCAUUAAUGGAGCCUAAAACCAACCAUAUGUUUUCCUCAAACAGGAUUGGCCCUUUGACGGUGGUUCUCCCCCCACCUGAACAUGUCGUUGAUGACUGGCUCAACCUCCUCAAGUGUAAAUUCCGAGACGAACACGGUUGUUGCAUUGCAGUGCAUUGUGUGGCGGGGUUGGGUCGGCGAGUUGUCUGCCUACACGUUCAAUCUAUUUGCCUAUUGUAUCUUCUUCCUUAGAAUGUCUGCUAGCCACCAACACAUUGGGACUCAUAGCAAAAGCAGUGUGUACUGAAUAGUUUAUGAAUAAUGAUCAUUUAAUUCUCAAAUGUGUUGUGUUUUAUAUUACACAUGAACUUUCCCAUCUCUACAGUACACUUGAUAUAAUUGAUAUAAUUUCUCUCCAGAGCCCCAGUCCUGGUAGCGCUGGCGUUGAUUGAGUGUGGGAUGGAAAAUGAAGAUGCUGUUCACUUUAUAAUCAGUAAAUUCUCUCAAUUGAUCAUAUUGUGACAUUUCAACCAUUGUCAUCACUACUUUAGAUCAAAUCUUCUUGCUAGUGUGAUUUAAAAAUAAAGAUGAUAUAAGUUAUGAUGAGCUGAUUCCAGAAUAGUCUUUCAAUAUGACAUUCAAAGUGCCAUCAGAAAGCCAAAUCAUUAAAAUACACAAUGAUUGCCCAUAAAAUGCCAUCCUUUUUUCUUCUCUCAGAAAGAGACGUGGGGCCUUCAACUUAAAAUAACUAAACUACAAACCCAAGAUGUGUCUCCGCUUCAAAGAUGCUAAUGGACAAAAUUGCUGCAUCCAGUAAGAAGAUAAGCGGUAUUGUCAAGAUUUACUCAAAAAGGAAACUGAUUACUAUAAGAACAGUUAUUGGUUAUACUCAAAGCAACAAAAAAAUACUCAAGAAAACUAGUCUAAAUAGUAAAAUUGAAUUUGAUUAAAGUAAACAUUCUAAAAAGACCAGCUAGAGAUUCAACUCAGUUGUUAGCACUGAUAUUUUCCUCAACUACUGUAGUUGUGAAUCAUUGAAGAAACAUUUUUAAAUUGUUACUAGUUGUUGGUGGUAGGGUCAUGUAUAAGUUUUGCAAAGGCUAAAAUAAGUGUAUUUAAUAAGUCUAACAGUCUUUAUUGUUAUUCAAAACAUUAUCAUGAAGGCAUGAGCACCAGUCUGCACAAAUACGGUAUUUACCACAUACGUUCUAUGAAAUGGUGUAUUCUAUUUUCUGGUAAAUAUUUCAAAAAGUCAAUUAUCUCAACAUAUUUGGGUAACUGCCUGGUACCAAAUGGUGCCCAGUCGGGAUUAUUUGAAUGAAUCCUGAAUCAAAUGUAAUUUUGGCCUAUAGUUAUUAUCAUGAUGUUACCAUGUCAUUUCAGAGUAAAUACUGUAACGACCCUUGGUUUAUGAGCUUGGUUAUUGACUCUGCCAUAUGAGCAUGCUUUUGUGGCAUAGUCGAUGGCGCGCACGGCUACGGGCUAGAAGGUUGAGGACUUGAGCGCACUCCCUGCCUGUUUCAUUACAUUGUAGUAGACCAGCCAACCUGGAAAAAGUGCUUGCUUUUGUUUUGCUUGUUGAAGGCUGUCAUCCAUGCUAGAUCAAACAAUGAUGGGAUGAUACACAUAGGUAGGCCUGAUGACAUGUUACAUUUUGAUUAAGGCAAUUUUCAAGGGUUAAAGGUCAAAUCUGGUGAAAAAGGCAUAAUGAAAAUAGUAAUUUUUAUUGUACACAGUGAGUCCAUGCAACUUAUUUGAUUGUUAUUUACAAGUUUUACUCCUGAACAUAUUUUGGAAUGCCAUAACAAAGAGAUCUUGUUUCUCAUGGUCUGAGA